rnacentral:rRNA from 1 species
GAUGAACGCUGGCGGCGUGCCUAAUACAUGCAAGUCGAGCGAACGGACGAGAAGCUUGCUUCUCUGAUGUUAGCGGCGGACGGGUGAGUAACACGUGGAUAACCUACCUAUAAGACUGGGAUAACUUCGGGAAACCGGAGCUAAUACCGGAUAAUAUUUUGAACCGCAUGGUUCAAAAGUGAAAGACGGUCUUGCUGUCACUUAUAGAUGGAUCCGCGCUGCAUUAGCUAGUUGGUAAGGUAACGGCUUACCAAGCCAACGAUGCAUAGCCGACCUGAGAGGGUGAUCGGCCACACUGGAACUGAGACACGGUCCAGACUCCUACGGGAGGCAGCAGUAGGGAAUCUUCCGCAAUGGGCGAAAGCCUGACGGAGCAACGCCGCGUGAGUGAUGAAGGUCUUCGGAUCGUAAAACUCUGUUAUUAGGGAAGAACAUAUGUGUAAGUAACUGUGCACAUCUUGACGGUACCUAAUCAGAAAGCCACGGCUAACUACGUG